GACGAACGCUGGCGGCGUGCCUAAUACAUGCAAGUAGAACGCACAGUUUAUACCGUAGCUUGCUACACCAUAGACUGUGAGUUGCGAACGGGUGAGUAACGCGUAGGUAACCUGCCUGGUAGCGGGGGAUAACUAUUGGAAACGAUAGCUAAUACCGCAUAAUAUUAAUUAUUGCAUGAUAAUUAAUUGAAAGGUGCAAUUGCACCACUACCAGAUGGACCUGCGUUGUAUUAGCUAGUAGGUGAGGUAACGGCUCACCUAGGCGACGAUACAUAGCCGACCUGAGAGGGUGAUCGGCCACACUGGGACUGAGACACGGCCCAGACUCCUACGGGAGGCAGCAGUAGGGAAUCUUCGGCAAUGGACGAAAGUCUGACCGAGCAACGCCGCGUGAGUGAAGAAGGUUUUCGGAUCGUAAAGCGCUGUUGUAAGAGAAGAACGGGUGUGAGAGUGGAAAGUUCACACUGUGACGGUAUCUUACCAGAAAGGGACGGCUAACUACG
rnacentral:rRNA from 1 species